AUUGAACGCUGGCGGCAUGCCUUACACAUGCAAGUCGAACGGCAGCAUGAUCUAGCUUGCUCGAUUGAUGGCGAGUGGCGAACGGGUGGGUAAUACAUCGGAACGUGCCCUGUAGUGGGGGAUAACUAGUCGAAAGAUUAGCUAAUACCGCAUACGACCUGAGGGUGAAAGUGGGGGACCGCAAGGCCUCAUGCUAUAGGAGCGGCCGAUGUCUGAUUAGCUAGUUGGUGAGGUAAAGGCUCACCAAGGCGACGAUCAGUAGCUGGUCUGAGAGGACGAUCAGCCACACUGGGACUGAGACACGGCCCAGACUCCUACGGGAGGCAGCAGUGGGGAAUUUUGGACAAUGGGCGAAAGCCUGAUCCAGCAAUGCCGCGUGUGUGAAGAAGGCCUUCGGGUUGUAAAGCACUUUUGUCCGGAAAGAAAUGGCUCUGGUUAAUACCUGGGGUCGAUGACGGUACCGGAAGAAUAAGGACCGGCUAACUACGUG
rnacentral:rRNA from 1 species